GACGAACGCUGGCGGCGUGCCUAAUACAUGCAAGUAGGACGCAGUUGCGAACGGAUGAGUAACGCGUAGGUAACUCACAAGGAGAGGGGGAUAACUAUGGGAAACGAUAGCUAAUACCGCAUACUAAUAGAUGGACCUGGGUUGUAUUAGCUAGUAGGUAGGGUAAGGGCCUACCUAGGCAACGAUACAUAGCCGACCUGAGAGGGUGAGCGGCCACACUGGGACUGAGACACGGCCCAGACUCCUACGGGAGGCAGCAGUAGGGAAUCUUCGGCAAUGGGGGGAACGCUGACGAAGCAACGCCGCGUGAGUGAAGAAGGUCUUCGGGUCGUAAAGCUCUGUUGUUCAGGAAGCGGUACUUAACCAGAAAGGGACGGCUAACUACGUGCCAGCAGCCGCGGUAAUAC
rnacentral:rRNA from 1 species